GACGAACGCUGGCGGCGUGCCUAAUACAUGCAAGUAGAACGCACAGUUUAUACCGUAGCUUGCUACACCAUAGACUGUGAGUUGCGAACGGGUGAGUAACGCGUAGGUAACCUGCCUGGUAGCGGGGGAUAACUAUUGGAAACGAUAGCUAAUACCGCAUAAUAUUGAUUAUUGCAUGAUAAUUAAUUGAAAGGUGCAAUUGCACCACUACCAGAUGGACCUGCGUUGUAUUAGCUAGUAGGUGAGGUAACGGCUCACCUAGGCGACGAUACAUAGCCGACCUGAGAGGGUGAACGGCCACACUGGGACUGAGACACGGCACAGACUCCUACGGGAGGCAGCAGUAGGGAAUCUUCGGCAAUGGACGAAAGUCUGACCGAGCAACGCCGCGUGAGUGAAGAAGGUUUUCGGAUCGUAAAGCUCUGUUGUAAGGGAAGAACGGGUGUGAGAGUGGAAAGUUCACACUGUGACGGUAUCUUACCAGAAAGGGACGGCUAACUACGUG
rnacentral:rRNA from 1 species